rnacentral:misc_RNA from 1 species
GGAAAUCCCUCUGUGACAUUCAUUCCUUCAAUAUAUUUAUUUUAUUAUUAUGAAGUGAAACAACUCAAGGAGAGAAAAAUCCAAAAUGGGAUCUUGAUGAAUGUGAAACUAAUAUAAUAUGACUAUGUUCCUCUUCUUACUGUUAUUAAUGAAGUUAUGUGAUGAUGGUGCAGCUCUUCCAACACCUGUCAGCCUCGUGGAACCUGUCCCUAUGAAUGUAAGGGCCUUGGAUGUAUCCGGUGAUGCUUUGAGUUUGACAUGGGACUAUCCUCCUGUGGAAGAGCUUCGUGGGUUCAGGAUCUUCAUUGAGCAUGAGGACUUGAAGGAUGUGAAGAGUAUCUCUACGAGUGAGAGUCCUCCUCUCAACAUUUCGCAUCUCGAGCCGUACUCUUUGUAUAGGAUUUGGGUCAAAGGUCUCUAUGAGGUGGAAGGGAGCGGGAGUGGGAGCGGAGAGGAUGGGACUCAAGAAGUCAAAGAGGAUUUGAGAGAAACGGAGAAAUCCGACUCCAUCCAAGUGCAUACAGAUGUGAAAGCCCCCGGAAUCCCUUUGCUGAGCAAUGCAUCAUGCUACGGAACGAACCAAAUAUGGAUUAGUUGGAGUCGCCCGGAAAAGUUCACCAAGACGAUCGACACCUAUCUUAUUUAUUAUAGAGAAUUUGUCUAUAAAGAUGAUAGAGUGACCUCCUUCCAAAAUUCAUUGGAUUUUUUUAAGCAGUUAGAAGUAGAAGCCGGCUCUGGAGAUGAAGAAUCUUUCAUUAUUGAGGGAUUAGAGGGUAAAACAACUUACGCAAUUCGUGUUCAAGCCUCUACAGAAAGUAUUGUUUUUGAAAAUAUUUCAUUUAGAGGAGAUUUUUCACAACAAAUGCUUGUGUAUUUACCUGAGGAGGAUUGUGAAGAACCACCUGUGAGCCCCUUUGGAGACGAAGAAGGAGAAUUAUCCGCUGGGAUGAUUGCUGGAACGAUUUUUUCUGCAAUCUUUCUUCUCUUGUCAGUUGUUGGCUUUGUGUUGUGGCGGCAAUAUUUCAAAGCAGCAUAUUAUUAUUUGGACGGAGAUCCUCCAAGAGUCGUUGCACCGGUUGGGAUUCCUGAUUGGGAAGGAGAGCCUGGUCCUGAUGGUGAAAAAGGUCCCGUCAUGGUUGAUGAUUUUCCAAGUCAUGUUGCUAAACUUCAUGCGGAUUCGGAUAUAGGCUUCUCAAAAGAAUACGAUGAAAUUCAAAAGUACUCCUGUACAAUAGUCAAUGCCACGCAUGAACAUUCUUCACAUCCGGAUAAUAAAUGCAAAAAUCGUUAUUUAAACAUUGUUGCCUACGAUCACAGUAGAGUUCAGUUAGCUCCCAUUAGUGGUUACAAAAAAACUUCAGAUUACAUAAAUGCAAACUAUAUCGAUGGAUUUCAGAAAUUUCAUUCGUACAUUGGUACACAAGGUCCUUUGGACGAAACCUUUGAUGCAUAUUGGAGAAUGAUUUGGGAACAGAAUGUUUAUGUUAUAGUGAUGAUUACAAAUUUAAUGGAGAGAGGAAGGAGGAAAUGUGAUUUAUAUUGGCCAAAGGAAGUAAAUAGUUCAGAAGUAUAUGGCCAUAUUGAAGUGCAUUUGGCAAAGGAGGAGGUUAUGGCCAAUUAUACAAUUAGAGUUAUGAAAAUCAAGCAUCUAAAGGAUACAGGUGAAAAAGUAAACACGUUGAGGAAAAAGAAAUGGGCUUCAUCUGAUCGUGAAAUACUUCAAUACCACUACACUAGUUGGCCGGAUCACGGAGUUCCAGCUCAUCCUCUUCCUGUUUUGAGUUUUAUUCGACGAUCUUCGAGAAGUAAUCCGCCUGACGGAGGCCCCAUUAUUGUACAUUGUAGUGCAGGAGUGGGUCGAACAGGAACUUAUAUUGUUAUUGAUGCUAUGCUUCAACAAAUUACUACUAAAUAUGAGCUCAACAUUUUUGGCUUUUUGAGGCACAUUCGUGGUCAAAGAAAUCAUCUUGUUCAAACGGAGGAACAGUAUGUAUUUAUACAUGAUGCUCUUCUUGAAGCAACAAGAUCAUGUAUUACUGAGAUUCCCAAGGACAAAAUAGUUAAUUUCAUUGAUAUCCUUAUGAAAAAAGAUAUUAUUUCUAAAAUUAAUUUACUUCAAAGGCAAUUUAAGUUGAUAACUUCGUUUGAGCCCAACGAUUUUCACUUCAUGUCCUCUAGGAAGUCUUAUAAUGUAUCAAAAUGUAGAGACUCAAAUCUGAUUCCUGUUGAAUCUUUUCGCGUUGCUUUGUCUCCUAAGCCUGGUGUGGAAGGCUCUGAUUUUAUUAAUGCUACUUGGCUUCAUGGCAACAGCAAACUUCGUGAAUUUGUCAUUACUCAGCAUCCCACGGCAGAAACUAAAGAAGAAUUUUGGAGCAUGCUUUGGGAUCACAAUGCUCAAACUGUCGUAUUACUUUCACCUAUUGACUCUGAUGAAUUUCCCGUGUUUUGGCCUACCAGAGAUGAAGAAUUUGAUCAAGAAUGUUUUAAAGUCAGAUUCAUUGAAGAAGCGAUUCAUGAGGGUCACUCCACUUAUGAUUUAGUUAUAUCCUCUAGACAUGAUGAUUAUGAACUUGAAGUAAGAAUUAUUCAUUGUCCAGACUGGCCAAGCCUUACCCGUGGAUUUGCUGUACUAAAGUUGGUUCAAGAUUGGCACUUGGAAUACCAGGAUGGUCCUUUGGUUGUGGUUGAUAAAUGUGGAGGUACGGAUGCAGGGACCUUUUGCGCUCUUACCACGCUUUGUAAACAAUUGGAGACGGAUAAUGCAAUAGAUGUGUAUCAAGUCGGUAAAUUGUAUCAUAAUGCAAGGCCUGGUCUUUGGAAAACUGAAGAGGAUAUUAUGCAUAUGUAUAAAGUAAUGGCGGAUUUAAUUUCUUCAAAUAUUGAGAAUCCAUUACAUGGGGAUGAAUCAUCUUCAUGCAUUACAACAACAACUCAGGCAGCUCCUGCGAUGGCUAUUCCUACAUCGAAUGGAAAUAUUAAUGGAAGUGCUAUACCGGAACGCCGUCAUUCCGCUUCUGAUUGUCAAUCUUCUAGCUGUUCUCUCUCAAAAUCCGGAGGUGGUUCAUCGACUAUAACUAAUAAUAACAAAGAUACUGCUGUGAAUAGGAGACAUUCAUUACCUGGAGGGACGCCUCUUUUGGAAUCUGAGGAUUCAUCUUCUGUGAAUUGCGAGGGCAAUCAUCUUCAUGAUCACCAUCAUAAUAUACUAUCUUCUUCAUCUUCUUCUCCAUCCUCAAAAAAGGAUGAUGAGGAUGGGAUGAUUGAUAUUCUCCAGCACUUUGAUGACGAUGAUGAUGAAAAAACUCAUCUCACAAAAUGACGUUUCCUGCGGCUGCUGCUACCUCCUCCUCGCCAUUUUUUUUUUUCAAAAGUCCUUUUAGUUCAAGAAUUAAAUAUGGAUAUAUUACAUACAUUAUGUAAAGGAUAUCUUUUUCGUUAUAGAAACAACAUAUAUUUUAAUAUGUACUCAUUAUUACUUUAUUAUUUAGUGUAUGUAACGCAGCAUGUGUGUUAUGCCAAUAAUUAAUUAACUAUUAUUAUCUAUAUAACUAAGAUAUGUAUUUAAUGUUUUGUGAACUCCUCUGUCUAGUUUUUUUUCUAUGUCAGAAUAGAAAAUCAAACUCAUAUCAUA